rnacentral:rRNA from 2 species
GCAGUCGAGCGGAAUUGAUGAGAAGCUUGCUUCUCUGAUGGUUAGCGGCGGACGGGUGAGUAACACGUAGGCAACCUGCCCUCAAGUUUGGGACAACUACCGGAAACGGUAGCUAAUACCGAAUAGUUGUUUUCUUCGCCUGAAGGAAACUGGAAAGACGGAGCAAUCUGUCACUUGGGGAUGGGCCUGCGGCGCAUUAGCUAGUUGGUGGGGUAACGGCUCACCAAGGCGACGAUGCGUAGCCGACCUGAGAGGGUGAUCGGCCACACUGGGACUGAGACACGGCCCAGACUCCUACGGGAGGCAGCAGUAGGGAAUCUUCCGCAAUGGGCGAAAGCCUGACGGAGCAAUGCCGCGUGAGUGAUGAAGGUUUUCGGAUCGUAAAGCUCUGUUGCCAGGGAAGAACGCUUGGGAGAGUAACUGCUCUCAAGGUGACGGUACCUGAGAAGAAAGCCCCGGCUAACUACGUGCCAGCAGCCGCGGUAAUACGUAGGGGGCAAGCGUUGUCCGGAAUUAUUGGGCGUAAAGCGCGCGCAGGCGGUCAUUUAAGUCUGGUGUUUAAUCCCGGGGCUCAACCCCGGAUCGCACUGGAAACUGGGUGACUUGAGUGCAGAAGAGGAGAGUGGAAUUCCACGUGUAGCGGUGAAAUGCGUAGAUAUGUGGAGGAACACCAGUGGCGAAGGCGACUCUCUGGGCUGUAACUGACGCUGAGGCGCGAAAGCGUGGGGAGCAAACAGGAUUAAAUACCCCUGGUAGUCCACGCCGUAAACGAUGAGUG